rnacentral:lncRNA from 1 species
CCCAGCAGGGAGCUUCAUAGGCCAAACUCACCCCUUCACAGUGCUUUAUUUUCCUUCAUCCAGAAUCUAAAAAGUCGGCACAAGAUAUAAAGGUUACCAGGAAUACAGACAUCUCUAAUGCAUCAGAAAAAUCACCUGAACAAGCCGAUGCACUCCGCAAAGAAUAUCAGACGUCUCCAGGACCGGUACCAGCUACACAAGUUACCACCACAAUGCUGAAGCCCACCACGACUCCGGAACCCAUCAGCACAACACCAAAGCCAACUACAUUCCCUGCAACAACCAGCACUACAACUACUAUUACCGCUGCCAAACCUCGAUCUGCAGUGCAUAGGGUCAGGGAUAUAGGUCCUAGCAGCGUCCAUCCAGUUUACUCAGCUGUGGCAGCUGCAGCAUCAAGUAAGUACAGUGGUUGUGAGGAGUGGAUAAAGUGCAUAUUAAAGCAGCAGGGUUGCAGUAUCAUUAAGGCUCAGAUUUGCAAAACUGGAGUGAAAUCCUGGCCCCAGUGACGCCAAUGGCAAAACUCCCAUUGACUUCAGAACGGCCAGGAUUUCACCCCAGUUUUUAAAGUGAAAUUUGAGGAAAUCCUGCACAAACCUGGGUCAGCAUUUCCAAACAUGGGGGGCCUGAAAUGAAUCAUCUAAAUCUGUAUGUAAACAUGAAAAUAAACACACAGCCUAACUGGCA